ACGAACGCUGGCGGCGUGCUUAACACAUGCAAGUCGAGCGGAAAGGCCCUGCUUUUGUGGGCUGCUCGAGUGGCGAACGGGUGAGUAACACGUGAGUAACCUGCCCUUGACUUUGGGAUAACUUCAGGAAACUGGGGCUAAUACCGGAUAGGAGCUCCUGCUGCAUGGUGGGGGUUGGAAAGUUUCGGCGGUUGGGGAUGGACUCGCGGCUUAUCAGCUUGUUGGUGGGGUAGUGGCUUACCAAGGCUUUGACGGGUAGCCGGCCUGAGAGGGUGACCGGCCACAUUGGGACUGAGAUACGGCCCAGACUCCUACGGGAGGCAGCAGUGGGGAAUAUUGCACAAUGGGCGGAAGCCUGAUGCAGCAACGCCGCGUGCGGGAUGACGGCCUUCGGGUUGUAAACCGCUUUCGCCUGUGACGAAGCGUGAGUGACGGUAAUGGGUAAAGAAGCACCGGCUAACUACGUG
rnacentral:rRNA from 1 species